GAUGUCUUUAAAGCGCCGACUGGUCUCCAUGUUUCUGUGCUGUGUUUACUGCGUGGCCUCACUCUUCUGCCUCCAUCCAAACCGCAGCAAUAUUGUCUCAGUGGGAGCGCGGAGUCUGUCGACCGUCUUCCAACAACUUUACCAGCGUGUCAUCCGAAUGCUGAGAACCACGCUGUGACUUCACACCACUUCCUGUGUUCGAAAGAGCCACCCUGGAUCUCCUGUCACUGUGACCGUGACCGAGCAUGCCUCCCAACAGAGCAAGAACAAAUGAAUAAAAGAAGAGAAAAGAAAAGAGGAAUAAUAUGUGUGGGACUGCAGAGUUUGAAUUGACUCAUAUUUGUCUGAACAGCUUUCCAAAUGACCAGAGAAGAAGAUGAAGACAAAUUUAUUUUUCUACACUUGACAAUGUAUGUUUGAUCACGAG